rnacentral:lncRNA from 1 species
UUUCCUUGGAUCCCUACACCUAUCUAAUUUUUUUUCUAUUUUUUUCUUAUGUUUCCAUUGAUUUUUUUUUCUCUCCACUCUUAUUCUCGAACCUCCUAUUUAUAGGUAAAUUUUUUACCUUUGUUUGGUAGUAAAAGGAGUCCUAAAACUCUUAGAAAUUAUAUAAUACCCGUAUGAAUUAAUUCUGGCCAUCGGAUCUUCAUUGGACUGCCCAGA